AUUGAACGCUGGCGGCAUGCCUUACACAUGCAAGUCGAACGGUAACAGGUCUUCGGAUGCUGACGAGUGGCGAACGGGUGAGUAAUACAUCGGAACGUGCCUAGUAGUGGGGGAUAACUACUCGAAAGAGUGGCUAAUACCGCAUGAGAUCUACGGAUUAAAGCAGGGACCGCAAGACCUUGUGCUACUAGAGCGGCCGAUAGCAGAUUAGGUAGUUGGUGGGAUAAAAGCUUGCCAAGCCGACGAUCUGUAGCUGGUCUGAGAGGACGAUCAGCCACACUGGGACUGAGACACGGCCCAGACUCCUACGGGAGGCAGCAGUGGGGAAUUUUGGACAAUGGGCGAAAGCCUGAUCCAGCAAUGCCGCGUGCAGGAUGAAGGCCUUCGGGUUGUAAACUGCUUUUGUACGGAACGAAAAGCCCCGGGUUAAUACCCUGGGGUCAUGACGGUACCGUAAGAAUAAGCACCGGCUAACUACGUGCCAGCCGCCGCGGUAA
rnacentral:rRNA from 1 species